UGAGGAAUAUUGGUCAAUGGGCGAGAGCCUGAACCAGCCAAGUAGCGUGCAGGACGACGGCCCUAUGGGUUGUAAACUGCUUUUAUGUGGGGAUAAAGUGCGUGACGUGUCAUGCAUUGCAGGUACCACAUGAAUAAGGACCGGCUAAUUCCGUGCCAGCAGCCGCGGUAAUACGGAAGGUCCGGGCGUUAUCCGGAUUUAUUGGGUUUAAAGGGAGCGUAGCCUGUCUAUUAAGCGUGUUGUGAAAUAUACCGGCUCAACCGGUGGCUUGCAGCGCGAACUGGUCGACUUGAGUAUGCAGGAAGUAGGCGGAAUUCAUGGUGUAGCGGUGAAAUGCUUAGAUAUCAUGACGAACUCCGAUUGCGAAGGCAGCUUACGGGAGCGCAAAUGACGCUAAAGCUCGAAGGUGCGGGUAUCGAACAGG
rnacentral:rRNA from 1 species